UCUGAACCAGCCAUGCCGCGUGCAGGAAGAAUGCCCUAUGGGUUGUAAACUGCUUUUAUGUAAGAAGAAACCCCUCUACGUGUAGAGGGCUGACGGUAUUACAAGAAUAAGCACCGGCUAACUCCGUGCCAGCAGCCGCGGUAAUACGGAGGGUGCRAGCGUUAUCCGGAUUUAUUGGGUUUAAAGGGUCCGYAGGCGGAWRAWUAAGUCAGKGGUGAAAUCCUACAGCUUAACUGUAGAAYUGCCWUUGAUACUGRWUUUCUUGAGUWUAGUUGARGUGRGCGGAAUGUGUCAUGUAGCGGUGAAAUGCAUAGAUAUGACACAGAACACCGAUUGCGAAGGCAGCUCACUAAACUAUUACUGACGCUCAGGGACGAAAGCGUGGGGAGCGAACAGGAUUAGAUACCCUGGUAGUCCACGCCGUAAACGAUGAUUACUCGAUAUUGGCGAUAUACGGUCAGUGUCUAAGCGAAAGUGAUAAGUWAUCCACCUGGGGAGUACGUUGGCAACAAUGAAACUCAAAGGAAUUGACGGGGG
rnacentral:rRNA from 1 species